GGGGCCGUAGUCCAGUGGUAGGAUGCUUGCUUUGGGUGCAAGUGAUCGCGAGUUCGAAUCUCGCCGGCCCCA
rnacentral:tRNA from 2 species